rnacentral:lncRNA from 1 species
CCCUUCUUCAUCAAACAACACUUUAGAACUCUUUUUCACUUCUUUUCAACUCUUUUCGCAUUCUUUUCACAUUUUUCUUUUGUUUUUUUCUUUCUUUUUACCCGUGCCUAUGACACAUAAUUCCUUAUGAAAAACACUUCCCCCACACUUGUUUUCUGCCACAAAGGAAUUCAAUUUGAAUCAUGCUUUACUACACUUUAAGAACAAGGUUAAUG